rnacentral:tRNA from 1 species
CAACGGCCUUCUAAGCCGUGUGUCGGGGGUUCGACUCCCUCCAGGCGCACCA